ensembl:snRNA U6 U6 spliceosomal RNA
CGGUUUCAGUAGCCCAGAUACCAAAACUGGAAUGGCUCAGAGAAGACUAGCACGGUCCCUGCGCGAGGAUGACACACAGACCUGUGAAGCGUUCCCUGUGUGG